UGGACAGAAAGACCCUAUGAAGCUUGACUGUAGCUUGGAAUUGGGUUCGGGCUCUUCUUGCGCAGCCUAGGUGGGAGGCAUUGAAGGUUUUCUUUCGGGGAAACUGGAGCCAACAGUGAGAGACCACUCUGGAGGAGCUAGAAUUCUAAUGGCGUUCCUUGAAGCAGGACGCUUGACAGUUUCAGGUGGGCAGUUUGACUGGGGCGGUCACCUCCUAAAAGGUAACGGAGGUGUGCAAAGGUUCCCUCAGGCUGGACGGAAAUCAGCCGGAGAGUGUAAAGGCAGAAGGGAGCUUGACUGCAAGACCUACAAGUCGAGCAGGGGCGAAAGCCGGCCUUAGUGAUCCGACGGUUCCAUGUGGAAGGGCCGUCGCUCAACGGAUAAAAGUUACUCUAGGGA
rnacentral:misc_RNA from 1 species